AACUGGAAACGAGGCGGUUCAGCUGGAUUCCAGCUGGUCACAGCUGGACCCAGCUGGAAUCCAGCUGGACCGCCUCAUUUCCAGUUC
rnacentral:pre_miRNA from 1 species